UGGGCGCUGGAGAACUGAGGGGGGCUGCUCCUAGUACGAGAGGACCGGAGUGGACGCAUCACUGGUGUUCGGGUUGUCAUGCCAAUGGCACUGCCCGGUAGCUAAAUGCGGAAGAGAUAAGUGCUGAAAGCAUCUAAGCACGAAACUUGCCCCGAGAUGAGUUCUCCCUGACUCCUUGAGAGUCCUGAAGGAACGUUGAAGACGACGACGUUGAUAGGCCGGGUGUGUAAGCGCAGCGAUGCGUUGAGCUAACCGGUACUAAUGAACCGUGAGGCUUAACCUU
rnacentral:rRNA from 1 species